rnacentral:rRNA from 1 species
GAUGAACGCUGGCGGCGUGCCUAAUACAUGCAAGUCGAGCGAACGGACAAGAAGCUUGCUUCUCUGAUGUUAGCGGCGGACGGGUGAGUAACACGUGGAUAACCUACCUAUAAGACUGGGAUAACUUCGGGAAACCGGAGCUAAUACCGGAUAAUAUUUUGAACCGCAUGAUUCAAAAGUGAAAGACGGUCUUGCUGUCACUUAUAGAUGGAUCCGCGCUGCAUUAGCUAGUUGGUAAGGUAACGGCUUACCAAGGCAACGAUGCAUAGCCGACCUGAGAGGGUGAUCGGCCACACUGGAACUGAGACACGGUCCAGACUCCUACGGGAGGCAGCAGUAGGGAAUCUUCUGCAAUGGGCGAAAGCCUGACGGAGCAACGCCGCGUGAGUGAUGAAGGUCUUCGGAUCGUAAAACUCUGUUAUUAGGGAAGAACAUAUGUGUAAGUAACUGUGCACAUCUUGACGGUACCUAAUCAGAAAGCCACGGCUAACUACGUG